AAGAAGUUCUCUUAGAGUUGUUAUGUAUAGAUGAAAUUUGGGUCAACCAUAUUUUGUGGACAACUGAUAUCCCCUCAAAAUACAACUCAGUUCAUCUUCAGUAAACAACAAACAUGAAAUGGCAUCUGCAAUUAUCACUGGUCAAAGAAAGAUUAUUCAAUAAAAAUAAAAAUGGGAAUGUAAGGCUUUUUUUUUUUUAAUAAAUAAAAUUGUCCCAGAUAUAGUGGGGGUGUUGUAUUAUCAAAAAUCAGAGUUUCGUUAUUACAACACAAGGUACACCCUUCAAAAGAUGAGGCAUAGGCGAUUAUAAAUAGUUCCCCCGCCUCUAAUCACUAUUAGAAUUGGGCCAAAAAGCAACCAAAAUUUGGCGACCAAAUUUUGUCUGUCAAGAAAAGCAACCAAAGAAGGUCGUCAAACUACCGAAAAUAAUAAAAAAAAUAUUUGUUAAUAAUUUAGCGACCAAUUUGGACGCAAAUUUAGUCAAACUGUUGACUGGAUUGGUCAGACUUGCUUGGUCAAAGAUAUACUGAGUUUAGCGACCAAUGUUGGUCGCAAAAGUGGGACCCACAUAAUUUUUUUUAAUAAUUUUAUUAUUAUUUUAUGAAACUUAUAAAAUAUAAAUAUUUAUAUAAUUUAAAAUUUGCGACCAAAGUUGGUCGCUAACUGAAGAAUAAGAUGAUAGUGACCAACUUUAAUCUCUAAAGUGGGACCCAGUUAUAAUAUUUUAAUAAAUAUAUAUUUUAAAAAAUUUAUAAAAUAUAAAUAAAGAUAAUUCUAAAUUUAGCGACCAAAGUUGAUCGCUUAAGGAAAUAGAGAGCAACGUUGGUAGCCAAUGUGAGACCUAGUUCUAACGCUUAACAAUUUUUAUUAUUAAUUUAAAAAUUAUAUAAAAUAUAAAUAAAUCUGAUUAAAUUUAGUGACCUAAUUUGGUCUCUAAAUUAAAUUCAUUUAAAAUUAGGGACAAAAGUUUCUCUCUAUAUGGUCAAAAUUUAAAAUUAUUUUAGUAUUUACUAUGUAAAUAUUAUAAAUAUAAGUCGUUAAUACUUUAGUAAUACAAGGGAUGAAUAGUACUAUGAAGCGGGCGUGUGUGUGUAUAUAUACAAUAUAUAUAUACUUACUCUAUAUUAUGCACUAAGAAUAAGUGUAUUAGGUAAUACCAUGUCGAAUAUUUAUAUAUAUAUACCAUGUCGAAUUAUUUUUAAGAGCAUUUCCAUACUUUUGUCGGUCAAAUUAUUGUCUGAAUUUGAAGAAAUAUCAUUCAAUAUCACAUUAAGCUUGAACGGAUCAGAUUUGGAAGAAAUUUGAGCACAAAAUUUCCUAUAAUCUUUGUCAUCAUAGAGUCUUAUGAUCCAGGUUUUAUGGGAACUACGACGACAAACGGAAUAAUUUUCGUCUACAUCAACCUUGUCACUAUCAAUCAAACUUCUUUUCCUCUUGGAAAUUGAAGUAGAGAAUUUCUCAAUAACCUUUUUUAUCUACUUAGGAAAUGUUAAAUCCUACCUACACCAUCACUUUUUUGAAACACAUGUCGUUGCCUUCUUUUUAUCAUUGUAGCUAAUGAGAUAAAUAAUUGAUCAAAGACACACUCCGUCAGAUACCUUAUCCAAGUUAUUCUUUGUAUCAAAGUUCAUCCCGAGUAAUAGUACCACGAGGAUAAUCACCAAAGCCACCAAACAACUUUAUGAUGCCAAUGAAGUAAGAUGAGUUAUUCAAUGAAACUCGUAUUGUAAAGAAGAAGAAAGAGAUUGAUUCAGAAAGGAGGGUCGAGCCUCAACUACAUACAUGUAUGUUUUUUUUUACUUUUUACUAAAUAUUUUUAUUUGCUUUUAUAUAAAUUUUGAAAUACUAAAUCAAUAUAAUUUUUCAUAUAGGUUCAAUUCGCUUCAAAACUGAUGUGGGAAAAUUCAUACGCGAUCAACCACCUAAUGAACCGAGCGAGGCAAUCCAACUUUCAGACGAGGAUGCUGAAAGAACACUCCUUCAGUACUUUAUAUACUAUUGUAUUAAUUCUAUUGUGUUAGAACUAAUUUACUAUUGUGUUAGUUCUACUGUGUUAGAACUAAUUUACAUUGUGUUAGUUCUAUUGUGUUAGAACUAAUUUACACACCAAUUUAAUUGUAUUAGUUCUCUUUAGUUCGAAUAGGCUUGUAAUAAGCGUUAACUUAGUUUUGUUAGCUUAAUGUAUUAGUUUUAUUGAAGUUUAUUCUUUGUUGCUUUUAAUUGCUUUUUAUGGUUGUUGUUGUUGGCAUAAAAUGCCUAGUUAGGAAAUGUGUAUGACUGACAUGUGGUGUAGCUGCAGAAACAGGUUGUUUAUGGCAAAAUAAUACACAAAAAGUGACUAAAGUUGGUCUCUAUUUGGUCGCUUUUCUAGUAAAAAGAAAUUUUCCUCUUAUAUCGAGCUUUAUUCUUUAUUGCUUUUAAUUGCUUUAAAUUGUUGGCAUAAAAUGCCUACUUAAGAAAUUGGUAUGAGUGGCAGGUGGUGUAGCUACCAAAACAGGCAGUUUCUGCCAAAAUAAUACACAGAAAAGCGACCAAAGUUGGUCUCUAUUUGGUCGCUUUUCAUGUAAUAAAAAAUAAUUUUCUGGAGAAUAGCGACAAACUUUGAUCGUUAUUUACCCAGAUUUAUUCAAAAAGCGACCAACCUCGGUCGCUAUUUCAUUAAUAAAAUAAUAUUUCUGGUGAUAUAGCGAUCAAAGUUGGUCGCUAAUAUUAAAAAACUAAAUUAAAUCCAUGUAUUUAGAGACCAAAGUUGGUCGCUAGUUUAAUAAAAUAAAUAAAUAGUUGAAUAAAAAAGCGACCAAUAUUUGUCUCUAGUUUCCAGAUUUUAAAUAUAAUAUUUGGAUUAGAGACCAAAGUUGGUCGCUUUUUUAUAAUUAAUAAUAAAUAAAUAAAUAAUGUAUUUUUUAUUUAGAGACCAACUUUGGUCGCCAAAUUUAUAUUAUUAAAUUAAUAAAGCGACCAAAGUUGGUAUCUAUAGUCAAUGUACGGAAAAAUGGGUCCAUUUAGCUUAGAAAAUUAGCGACCAACUUUGGUCCCUAAAUAAAAGGGACCAUCAAUAUAGCCACUAGGCACUUUUGAUCGCUAUUUAGCCAAAAACGGGAAUAGUUGGUCGUUUUUUGCGGUCUUUUUUCUCAUAAUUCUAGUAGUGAAUUACAAAAAACACCUAGCUAACAAAAAAAUUGACAUUAUCGUAUUUGUUCCUUAUGCUGGGCAUCUAUUCUUUAUCCAGCAUAAGAGGUCCCUUAGCUUCAUUGAGCAGACACUACAACAAAAUUGUCCUAAGGCAACACUUAUCAUAGACAACACUUGAAAAGUGUUGCCAAAAUAACAAAAGAAAUGCUUUUGUAAGGGUGGUCUUUUAUAAGAGCUUUUGGCAACAGAGAUUAGGCGGCACUCAUGAAGUGUGUUCUUUAUGUACAACGACUAAACAGUGUAACCAUUGCCUACAAUUUGAAUUUAACAGACAAAGUUGUAGAAUUUACAUUUUUUUCUAAAUACAUAGUAAUUGAAUUUUUCAGGGAAUUUUUGAUAAUGUCAUUCUGUUAUAGAUUGGGGCAAACUUGGUUAAACGAGUCGUAGGUUUUUUAAUAUAUCUGUGUAUGAAUAAAAAUUUUAUAGGUUUAGCAUGAGAGGCUUGAAAGUGUUAUAUUAGAAUUUUGUUACACUAGCUUAAUCGUCUAAAAUGAUUCAUCUACGUUUGUCCACUUUUACUGAAUGCCAAGGGUAUUUGAAUUGUUAAAUGAUAACAUGAUCGGAACUCACAAAUUUAGUUACACCAGGAUUUUUUGAUGGAACUCAAUUUGAUUGACUUAAUAAAACUAACAACUUUUGUUUUUUUAAUUGAAGAACUAGAAUGAUCUUUAACCACACAAAUUGUUUUAUUGGAUCAGGGGAUAUUUGGCUAAUAAUUACAAGCUUGGAUUUGAUAUAGUGAACAAAUAAGAGUGGUAUAGGAAAUUAUAUAAUUUAGUGAGAUGAUAAACAAAUUGAACAAAAUGGCAGCAAAUAGAAUAUCUUUUAACUUGUAAGUAAACUUCUAAAUUAAAAGGAAGUGAAGGCAGUUUCAUGAUCCUUCAUUACAUGAUUUUAAAAAAAAAGUAAAACCCACUACAAUACCACUCAGUGGUGUCUGGGGAGGGUAGUGUGUAUGCAGUCUUACCCCUACCCUGGGGUAGAGAGGCUGUUUCCAAAUAGACCCCCGGCAUAAAUCCCNNNNNNNNNNNNNNNNNNNNNNNNNNNNNNNNNNNNNNNNNNNNNNNNNNNNNNNNNNNNNNNNNNNNNNNNNNNNNNNNNNNNNNNNNNNNNNNNNNNNNNNNNNNNNNNNNNNNNCGGCAUAAAUCCCCAGAAUUUGCUCCUGGGGAGACUCGAACUCACAACCUCUCGGUUGUAAGUGAGGGUUGGUUACCAUCAGACCAAGCACCUCUUGUCGAUUACAUGAUUUAAUUACUUAUUUAUAAAUUUUCUCUAUGUCUUACUUAUACUACUCUUGAAGUCCUUUUAUGAAACUUGAGCUUCUAUCUCUAUUACUUAGAAGCUCUAAAUAUUGUUGAGUUUGUCAUUCCAUAUUUUCAUGCUAUUUUAUCAUUUCCUCUCCAUAGCUAUGUCUUAUGUAGAUUGCAACCUUAAUCUUUUUCAAUUUUAUGCUUAAUAUUUUACAAUUAAUAAGCAACUAAACUACAUACUAUUACUAAUUUCAAUUAUAGCAUGAUGGCUUGCUUUCAUGUCUCCUUAAAGCUUAGUAAUAGAGUGAAGAAAUUACAGGCUUCCCCCUCCCUUAAUGAACAAAAACCUUCUUUAGUGUAACUUUGCGAUUUGUCUCUCUUUAUGUAAAAAUUAUUCUGUAUGUGUCCUAAGUGAAUUUGUUUUUAAUAUGGUAAAAUUACCUAUCUUUUACCCAGUAUUUAGAAAAACGCACUCUUUAUCGCUUUAAGCGCGACGAGACGCGACCUACUAUCCCUUCCAGCACUGAGAAGACUCGAUCGGAAGAAGCGCACGCUUCACAAGAAAAAGCAAUGAAGCGAUCAAGCGGAUUAAGAGAUGAUGCGAUCGCUUAUUUGCAGAAAAGCGCAGCGGGUAUUUUUUAAAAAAAAAUACUCUGGAUCUAUUAUUCUACAUGGCAAAACAGACCCUAAAUUGACAAAAAAUCCCUUCCCCUUCGACAAAAUUCUUCGACAACACAGAGUCUCACAAAACCUAGGUUUUUUUACCUGCUGAAGAUGAAAUCCAAAAGCAGAGACGCCAUUGCUGACCCUUUCUCUCUCGCUCGCGACUCAGCCAGUUCAGGACCCAUGUAAUUUCUUCUUCUCCUUUCUUCAUUUGUUCUUCAUUUCUUCUCGUUUUUGUUUCCCUCCUCCUCCUUCUUCUUCUUCUUCUUCUUCUUCUCCAUCCGGAACAGAGUAAGUAACAUAGUUAAUUAUUAUAU
rnacentral:lncRNA from 1 species